AGUUCUGUUUUUGUAUAAUACAUUUUUGGCUGCAGUUACUACAUUUUGAAAGAAUGUUUUUAAUGCUACUGCAAUCGUGUAAUAACAU